rnacentral:rRNA from 3 species
AGAGUUUGAUCAUGGCUCAGAUUGAACGCUGGCGGCAGGCCUAACACAUGCAAGUCGAACGGUAACAGGAAGCAGCUUGCUGCUUUGCUGACGAGUGGCGGACGGGUGAGUAAUGUCUGGGAAACUGCCUGAUGGAGGGGGAUAACUACUGGAAACGGUAGCUAAUACCGCAUAACGUCGCAAGACCAAAGAGGGGGACCUUAGGGCCUCUUGCCAUCGGAUGUGCCCAGAUGGGAUUAGCUAGUAGGUGGGGUAAAGGCUCACCUAGGCGACGAUCCCUAGCUGGUCUGAGAGGAUGACCAGCCACACUGGAACUGAGACACGGUCCAGACUCCUACGGGAGGCAGCAGUGGGGAAUAUUGCACAAUGGGCGCAAGCCUGAUGCAGCCAUGCCGCGUGUAUGAAGAAGGCCUUCGGGUUGUAAAGUACUUUCAGCGGGGAGGAAGGGAGUAAAGUUAAUACCUUUGCUCAUUGACGUUACCCGCAGAAGAAGCACCGGCUAACUCCGUGCCAGCAGCCGCGGUAAUACGGAGGGUGCAAGCGUUAAUCGGAAUUACUGGGCGUAAAGCGCACGCAGGCGGUUUGUUAAGUCAGAUGUGAAAUCCCCGGGCUCAACCUGGGAACUGCAUCUGAUACUGGCAAGCUUGAGUCUCGUAGAGGGGGGUAGAAUUCCAGGUGUAGCGGUGAAAUGCGUAGAGAUCUGGAGGAAUACCGGUGGCGAAGGCGGCCCCCUGGACGAAGACUGACGCUCAGGUGCGAAAGCGUGGGGAGCAAACAGGAUUAGAUACCCUGGUAGUCCACGCCGUAAACGAUGUCGACUUGGAGGUUGUGCCCUUGAGGCGUGGCUUCCGGAGCUAACGCGUUAAGUCGACCGCCUGGGGAGUACGGCCGCAAGGUUAAAACUCAAAUGAAUUGACGGGGGCCCGCACAAGCGGUGGAGCAUGUGGUUUAAUUCGAUGCAACGCGAAGAACCUUACCUGGUCUUGACAUCCACAGAACUUUCCAGAGAUGGAUUGGUGCCUUCGGGAACUGUGAGACAGGUGCUGCAUGGCUGUCGUCAGCUCGUGUUGUGAAAUGUUGGGUUAAGUCCCGCAACGAGCGCAACCCUUAUCCUUUGUUGCCAGCGGUCCGGCCGGGAACUCAAAGGAGACUGCCAGUGAUAAACUGGAGGAAGGUGGGGAUGACGUCAAGUCAUCAUGGCCCUUACGACCAGGGCUACACACGUGCUACAAUGGCGCAUACAAAGAGAAGCGACCUCGCGAGAGCAAGCGGACCUCAUAAAGUGCGUCGUAGUCCGGAUUGGAGUCUGCAACUCGACUCCAUGAAGUCGGAAUCGCUAGUAAUCGUGGAUCAGAAUGCCACGGUGAAUACGUUCCCGGGCCUUGUACACACCGCCCGUCACACCAUGGGAGUGGGUUGCAAAAGAAGUAGGUAGCUUAACCUUCGGGAGGGCGCUUACCACUUUGUGAUUCAUGACUGGGGUGAAGUCGUAACAAGGUAACCGUAGGGGAACCUGCGGUUGGAUCACCU